rnacentral:lncRNA from 1 species
UUUCGGAGGUUCAUGAAAAGGGCGGUAUAUAUAGUCACUUCCACAUGGCUAAAAAAUGUCCGCAAGAUCAAGUUGGCGAGCUAUCGGAAAGCUCGAGAAGAGUAAAUGCGGCAUUUAAUUGAAUUCAUUCAGAGAAUCCCAAAAAUUACUAUUCAGCGUAUUCGUACGUGGUAAAGAAAGACCCGGACUUCGUGAUUUCUCCAGGGCUUAAUAUAUAGACCUCCCUAAUGCUGACGCGUUAGCAAGUACUACCGCGCGCACCCGCCGAAGCAAGAAAGUUGCACAGGCUUCCAAAAAUAUGUAACGAAAGGGACUCGCAUUAUAGGGCGUUGUACGCAUAAUACAACACAAAGUUAGUGUUAUACGCUAAUUAUAUGCUAGUAAACGUUUCCGGACCAUGCAGACGAAUGCAAUGAAUGAAAUGAAACUAACAUCGGUUGUCACUUCGAUUGUCACUAUAGAAAUAUGAAAUAAUGGGCAACUAGGCAGCUUUUAAAUCAGAACAAGGCG